UCGAGCUGAGGAUGAUCUAAGUUAUCCCUGUCUGAAACGACGCUUUUGUGAAGAGUCGUGGUUUGCUGAGGCUCGA